GAGAUCGAGAGGGUUUAUGUAUUUCUAGUUGGAUUAGAUGAUGUGUUUGACAGAGUUUGUUACUAGUACUAAUGCACUGCAGAAGAAGAGAUUCUCAGAAGGAUGUGGCAUUCACCUGUUUUUUUAAGUGUGGUGGUGAGCAAAAAUGCUCCCAUAGAAAUAUAAAGUAAAAUCCUAUAAUUGUAAUCUAUUAAAAUCAUAAGUAAAACCUUAAGUGAAUAAAAUCAUAAGGAAGUCAUGUAAUUGCAA
rnacentral:lncRNA from 1 species